rnacentral:rRNA from 1 species
UUUCUUAGUUGCUAACAGGUCAUGCUNAGAACUCUAAGGAUACUAGCCUCCUAAGGAGGAGGAAGGUAGGGACGACGUCAAGUCAUCNNUGGCCCUUACCCUAGGGCUACNCNCGUGCUACNAUGGGGUGCACAAAGAGAAGCAAUACUGCGAAGUGGAGCCAAUCUUCAAAACACCUCUCAGUUCGGAUUGUAGGCUGCNACUCGCCUGCAUGAAGCUGGAAUCGCUAGUAAUCGCAAAUCNGCCAUGUUGCGGUGAAUACGUUCC